UCAAGCUAAUAAGGGCGCAAGGGGGAUGCCUUGGCAUUGGUAGCCGAUGAAGGACGUAGCGAUCUACGAUAAGCCACGGGAAGUCGAAAGCAGGCAAUGAUCCGUGGAUUUCCGAAUGGGGAAACCCGGCAGAGCAAUACUCUGUCAACUCCUUGUGAAUAAAAUAGCAUUGAGUAGGGAACCUCCUGAACUGAAACAUCUAAGUAGGGAGAGGAAAAGAAAUCAACCGAGAUUCCGCUAGUAGUGGCGAGCGAACGCGGAAGAGGCCAAACCAAGAGUAGUAAUACUUUUGGGGUUCGGACUGAGCACGGUAUUGACAAAGGUUAGUGGAAUGAAAUGGGAAGUUCAACCAUAGAGCGUGAGAGUCGCGUAUACGAAAACUUGAGUCAGCCAUCAGUAUCCAGAGUACCGCCGGACACGUGAAACCCGGUGGGAAUACGGGGGGACCACCCUCCAAGCCUAAAUACUCACCAAUGACCGAUAGUGUAUAGUACUGUGAAGGAAAGGUGAAAAGAACCCCUGGCGGGGAGUGAAAAAGAACCUGAAACCUUGUGCCUACAAGCACAUAGAGCACAUCAACGUGUGAUAUGGUACCUUUUGUAGAAUGGUCCGGCGAGUGAAUGUCACUAGCGAGGUUAAGGACUUAAGGUCUGCAGCCGAAGCGAAAGCGAGUCUUAAUAGGGCGCUAAUAGUUAGUGGUAUUCGACCCGAAACCGAGUGACCUAGCCAUGAGCAGGCUGAAGUGGAGGUAAAACUCCAUGGAGGGCCGAACCCACUCCCGUUGAAAUGGUAGGGGAUGACUUGUGGCUAGCGGAGAAAUUCCAAUCGAACUCGGAGAUAGCUGGUUCUCUCCGAAAUAGCUUUAGGGCUAGCCUCAAAUAACAUUACCGCAGGUAAAGCACUGAAUGGGCUAGGGGGCGAAAGCUUACUGAACCCUAUCAAACUAAGAAUGGCGGAUAAUGAAUAUUUGGGAGUCACACUACGUGAGAUAAGUUUCGUGGUGGAAAGGGAAACAGCCCAGACCCACAGCUAAGGUCCCAAAGUACAGUUAAGUGGAAAAGGAUGUGAAGUUGCGCAGACAACCAGGAUGUUGGCUCAGAAGCAGCCACUCAUUCAAAGAGUGCGUAAUAGCUCACUGGUCGAGUGAUUUUGCGCCGAAAAUUUAACGGGGCUAAACUGUACACCGAAGCUUGGGAAUAUACCUCUGGUAUGUUGGUAGGAGAGCGUCGUAUGCGGGGUGAAGUCGUAGCGAAAGCGGCGGUGGACUGCAUAGGAGUGAGAAUGCCGGAAUGAGUAGCGAGAAUUAUGUGAGAAUCAUAAUGGCCGAAAGACUAAGGUUUUAGAAGGAAGGUUCGUCCGCUUCUAGUUAGCCGGGAGCUAAGGCGAGGCCGAAAGGCGUAGUCGAUGCACAUACGGUUGAGAUUCCGUAGCCACCUUAAAUUUAAACUAAGGGACACAUUGAAAGGGAAUAACCCAGGCGUUGGUUGACCUGGGCGUAAGGGAACGAAAAUAAGUAGUGAAGUAUUCUUGGACAGUGGCGAGAAAAGCUUAGUGUAUAUUAUUAGGGUGCCCGUACUGCAAACCGACACAGGUAGUCAGGAAGAGAAUUCUAAGGCCAUCGGGAGAAGCGUUGUUAAGGAACUCGGCAAAUUGACCCCGUAACUUCGGAAUAAGGGGUGCUCACGCGAGUGAGCCGCAGUGAAUAGGUCCAGGCAACUGUUUAUCAAAAACACAGCUCUCUGCUAAAUCGUAAGAUGACGUAUAGGGGGUGACACCUGCCCGGUGCUGGAAGGUUAAGAGGAGGAGUGCAAGCCCCGAAUCGAAGCCCCAGUAAACGGCGGCCGUAACUAUAACGGUCCUAAGGUAGCGAAAUUCCUUGUCGGGUAAGUUCCG
rnacentral:rRNA from 1 species